ACACUCUUUGGGCCUGGAAAACAGAAAAACCCUUUUUUUUUCCCCUUCUCCUCUGCGCUCGCUCGCUGCAGAGAACAAAACACGGGUUCUCUGCGCGCCUAGGUUAAAAAAAAAAUCCCAAUUCUCUCGGAAAAUCAAAAUUCAAUGGCGAAGAGACCCAAGGAGGAGGAAGCGCAGGAGCCUCUGCCGGACCAUCUCCGCUGCGGCCGCACCGACGGGCGCCAAUGGCGGUGCCGGCGGCGAGUGAAGGACAGUCUGAAGCUCUGCGAGAUUCACUACCUCCAAGGUCGCCAUCGCCAGUUCAAGGAGAAGGUUCCCGAGUCCCUGAAGCUUCACCGGAAGAGAAAACCGAGCGAGGAGCCUAACGCUCUCGACAAUGCCGAAUCUAGGGUACGGAGAACCUCGAGAAUCGUGAAGAAGAAGCGCAAGCUUUCCGAGGGUUCCGACGCGUUGGUCGUUGCCGCUUCCUCCGCCGCCAGGAAGAAGAAGGAGUUGAAGCAAGGCGAUGUGCAGUUGGAGCUUUUGAGGAUGGUUCUCAAGAGAGAAGCUGAGAAGAAGAACAAAAGCAAGAGCAAGAAGAAGAAGAAGAAGAAGGUUAAGAAGAAGAAAAAGGAAGAGGAAGAGGAAUUGUGCUACGGUGAAGGAGAGCUGAGGAGGGAAUUGCCCAAUGGUGUAAUGGAAAUCUCUCCGGCUUCGCCGAAUCGUGAUUACAACAAUGUGGGUUCUCAUUGUGAUGUUAAAGUGGGUGUUGAUUGCAGAACUGUUACUCCUCGUUACUUUAGGUCCAAGAAUGUUGAUAGGGUCCCUGUGGGGAAGUUGCAGAUUGUGCCGUACGGGUCAAAUUUGACCAAGGGUCAGGGUAAGAGGAAGAAGUGCCAUUGGUGUCAGAGAAGUGAGUCUGGUAACCUCAUCCAGUGUUCGAGCUGUCAGAGGGAGUUUUUCUGCAUGAACUGCAUUAUAGAGCGGUAUUGUGACACUCAAAAUGAAGUUAAGAAGGCAUGUCCAGUUUGUCGCGGAACUUGCACUUGUAAGGUCUGCUCAGCAAGUCAAUGUAAAGACAGUGAAAGUAAGGAAUAUUUGACUGGAAAAAGCAGAGUUGAUAGAAUACUGCAUUUUCAUUAUUUGAUCUGCAUGCUUCUUCCAGUACUAAAGCAAAUAAGUGAAGAUCAGAAUAUUGAGCUAGAAACAGAAGCAAAAAUUAAAGGGAAAAAUAUUUCUGAUAUUCAAAUCAAGCAGGUUGAAUUUGGCUGCAAUGAGAAUAGUUGUUGCAAUCACUGCAAAACACCCAUUUUGGAUCUCCAUAGAAGCUGUCCUGGUUGUUCAUAUAAGCUAUGCUUAAGUUGUUGUCAGGAGUUAAGUAAAGGAAAAACUUCUGGAGAAAUUAACUCAUCUAUGUUCAAGCAACCUGAUAAAAUGAAAGCUUGUGAUGCUAGUGAGAGCCAUACUUUGGGUGACAAAGCCAUAUCUAGUGGCAAUUUAACUGAUACUUCAAUAUUGCCUGAGUGGACAAAUUGUAAUGACAUUGAUAGUUUAUCAUGCCCUCCUACAGAGCUUGGUGGUUGUGGUAAUUGUCACCUUGAUUUGAGAUCUGUUUUCACCUCUAGUUGGAUCAAAGAGAUGGAAGUAAAGGCGGAAGAAAUUGUUUGCAGCUAUGACUUCCCUGAAACUUCAGAUAAAAGUUCGAGCUGCUCAUUGUGUUUUGACACUGAUCACAGCACUAACAGAUACAAACAGUUACAUGAAGCAGCUCUAAGAGAAGAUUCCAAUGAUAAUUACUUGUUUUGUCCCACGGUGUUGGACAUUAGUGGUGAUAACUUUGAGCACUUUCAGAAACACUGGGGAAAAGGCCAUCCUAUAGUUGUCCAAGAUGUGCUCCAAAAUACAUCAAACCUCAAUUGGGAUCCAGUAAUAAUGUUCUGUACUUAUCUUGAGCAGAGCAUUACAAGAUAUGAGAAUAAUAAAGAUUUACUUGCAUCUUGUUUGGACUGGUGGGAGGUGGAUAUUAACAUUAGGCAGUUUUUUACUGGGUCUGUGAAACGUCGUCCUCAGAGAAACACUUGGCAUGAGAUGCUGAAACUAAAUGGGUGGCUGUCUUCCCAAAUAUUCAAAGAGCAGUUUCCAGCUCAUUUUGCUGAGGUAAUUGAUGCCCUACCAGUUCAAGAAUACAUGCACCCGUUGUCUGGUCCUCUGAAUUUAGUGGCAAAUUUGCCACAUGGGAGUGCAAAACAUGAUAUUGGCCCAUAUGUCUAUAUAUCUUAUGGCUCUGCUGACAAAGAAACUGAUUCUGUUACAAAACUCUGCUAUGACUCGUAUGAUGUGGUUAAUAUUAUGACACAUGCCACGGAUGUCCCCCUCUCUACAGAACAGCUUACAAAAAUAAGAAAGUUACUGAAAAAGCACAAAACUCUCUGUCAAAUGGAGACUAUUGCUACUGUGGAGAUACAGGAACAGAAAGUGAAUGGAAUGACAUUAUUGGAUGCUGAAAAAAUGGAGCAAAAAGACUUGCAGAGUAUGGUUGAUGAAGGAUCAAACUUUUUCAGGAGAGUCAAUAGAACAUCUUGCAUCUCAACUGAAGCAAAAAACGUUUCUAGUCAGAGCAAAAACAGCAAUAUUUCCCAGAAUGGAGAAUGUGAUGUUUCUGAUUCUGAUUCUGGACCUGCCUUACUUCUCCAUGGGACAGUUCAAACUACUGCAUUGUCUAAUCACGACAAUCCUAGAUAUCCCUUUGAAAGAUCACAAAGAAAUAAAAAUAAGUUUACUGAGCAAUCUGGUGCCCAGUGGGAUGUCUUUCGUAGACAAGAUGUACCAAAACUCAUAGAGUACCUUCAAAGGCACUAUGAUGAAUUUUCUUAUACCAAUGACUAUUACAAGAAACAGAUGGUUCAUCCAAUUCUAGAUCAGAGCAUCUUCCUUGACAGUACUCACAAAAUGAGACUAAAGGAGGAAUUUAAGAUUGAACCAUGGAGUUUUCAGCAACACGUUGGACAAGCUGUCAUCAUUCCUGCCGGAUGUGCAUAUCAGAUCAGAAAUUCUAAGUCUUGUGUUCAUGCGGUAUUGGAAUUUGUGUCCCCUGAAAAUGUUACCGAGGGUAUCCAGUUGAUUGAUGAGGUUCGACUAUUGCCUGAAAACCAUAAAGCGAAAGCAGACGUGCUGGAGGUAAAGAAAAUGGCGCUUCAUAGCAUGAAUACAGCAAUUAAAGAAGUACGUCACCUUACAAGCAAAACAUGAUCGCACCAGCUUAAAAUAUACUUACAUGCCUCUGAGGCUCUAGAGAUCUCAUGUCUCAACCUCACUUCCACAUCUUCAUUCUUGUAUAUAAUAAUGCUCAGACACAUUAAUAUCUAGUAAGGGAAUAGGUUGAUAUCAAUUGAAAUAAAUGUAGUUCUCCAGUAUGCUCAAUAAUCACGCGGGUAGAUCGAUGAGUAUUGUGAGUUUGAAAAUGCUUAAAGUUUGAUUCUUCAACCCUGGUAGAUUGUUUUGAGCUACAGUUUUGUUUUUGGGACUACAGCUGGAAUGACACCAAUUAUAUAAUUAUAAAUCUAACAAUCCGCAGCCUUAUCUGUCAGGCUGAGGCCCAGAGUGUGCUAACCUUGGUUGCCAAAGCGGGUUACUUUGCAUGGUUCAUCCCUCUUCCAUGUUCAUUAGCAUUUGGAAGUGCUAAGCACGGUGAUAUUCGUUUGCUCUAUCAUCUAAACUGUAGAUGAUGUUUUCCAUCAUCCAUAAAGCGUGAUUAACACAUAUGAUCAUAUCAAAGUAGGGUAAAGCAUUUGAAACCGGUUCCAAAAUCAGGUUCCCAGAUGGGUAAAUCAGCAUAAGCGAGAAGAAUCUGAAAAGGUUCAAUUUGUUGGUCCUAGCUCAAAUUUUGGAAGUACCACACUAGGCUGUCGACAUAUUUUUCACCCAUUCGUCACAACUGAUACCAUGUUUUGAAACGGUCAAGUACGUGCGAUCUUUAUCAAUUGUUAACACUCGAAUGUUGUAUUGAAGUUGAAUCAUGAACAUAAUCUCUUAAAGCUGUCCAUUUGAUUGCCCCCAGAAUUGAUUGCAUCAGUGUGCUACUGGACAAUGGACACACUUUCACUUCCUCUGUAAAUGAGUUUGAUAUUGGAUGCUGAUGAUUAGGGUAUAUUUACAUUUCUAACGAAA